AGCAGUAGCCACGGUAAAACGAAGGGGGCUAGCGUUGUCCGGAUUUAUUGGGCGUAAAGGGAGCGCAGGCGGUUUAGUAAGUCUGAAGUUAAAGGCAUUGGCUCAACCAAUGUAUGCUUUGGAAACUGUUAGACUUGAGUGCAGAAGGGGAGAGUGGAAUUCCAUGUGUAGCGGUGAAAUGCGUAGAUAUAUGGAGGAACACCGGUGGCGAAAGCGGCUCUCUGGUCUGUCACUGACGCUGAGGCUCGAAAGCGUGGGUAGCGAACAGGAUUAGAUACCCCGGUAGUCCCUGUCUCUUAUACA
rnacentral:rRNA from 1 species